GAUUAAGUUAUUAAGGGCGCACGGUGGAUGCCUUGGCACUAGAAGCCGAUGAAGGACGUUACUAACGACGAUAUGCUUUGGGGAGCUGUAAGUAAGCUUUGAUCCAGAGAUUUCCGAAUGGGGAAACCCAGCAUGAGUUAUGUCAUGUUAUCGAUAUGUGAAUACAUAGCAUAUCAGAAGGCACACCCGGAGAACUGAAACAUCUUAGUACCCGGAGGAAGAGAAAGAAAAUUCGAUUCCCUUAGUAGCGGCGAGCGAAACGGGAAGAGCCCAAACCAACAAGCUUGCUUGUUGGGGUUGUAGGACACUCUAUACGGAGUUACAAAGGACGACAUUAGACGAAUCAUCUGGAAAGAUGAAUCAAAGAAGGUAAUAAUCCUGUAGUCGAAAAUGUUGUCUCUCUUGAGUGGAUCCUGAGUACGACGGAGCACGUGAAAUUCCGUCGGAAUCUGGGAGGACCAUCUCCUAAGGCUAAAUACUCUCUAGUGACCGAUAGUGAACCAGUACCGUGAGGGAAAGGUGAAAAGCACCCCGGAAGGGGAGUGAAAUAGAACCUGAAACCGUGUGCUUACAAGUAGUCAGAGCCCGUUAAUGGGUGAUGGCGUGCCUUUUGUAGAAUGAACCGGCGAGUUACGAUUUGAUGCAAGGUUAAGCAGUAAAUGUGGAGCCGUAGCGAAAGCGAGUCUGAAUAGGGCGUUUAGUAUUUGGUCGUAGACCCGAAACCAGGUGAUCUACCCUUGGUCAGGUUGAAGUUCAGGUAACACUGAAUGGAGGACCGAACCGACUUACGUUGAAAAGUGAGCGGAUGAACUGAGGGUAGCGGAGAAAUUCCAAUCGAACCUGGAGAUAGCUGGUUCUCUCCGAAAUAGCUUUAGGGCUAGCCUCAAGUGAUGAUUAUUGGAGGUAGAGCACUGUUUGGACGAGGGGCCCCUCUCGGGUUACCGAAUUCAGACAAACUCCGAAUGCCAAUUAAUUUAACUUGGGAGUCAGAACAUGGGUGAUAAGGUCCGUGUUCGAAAGGGAAACAGCCCAGACCACCAGCUAAGGUCCCAAAAUAUAUGUUAAGUGGAAAAGGAUGUGGCGUUGCCCAGACAACUAGGAUGUUGGCUUAGAAGCAGCCAUCAUUUAAAGAGUGCGUAAUAGCUCACUAGUCGAGUGACACUGCGCCGAAAAUGUACCGGGGCUAAACAUAUUACCGAAGCUGUGGAUUGUCCUUUGGACAAUGGUAGGAGAGCGUUCUAAGGGCGUUGAAGCAUGAUCGUAAGGACAUGUGGAGCGCUUAGAAGUGAGAAUGCCGGUGUGAGUAGCGAAAGACGGGUGAGAAUCCCGUCCACCGAUUGACUAAGGUUUCCAGAGGAAGGCUCGUCCGCUCUGGGUUAGUCGGGUCCUAAGCUGAGGCCGACAGGCGUAGGCGAUGGAUAACAGGUUGAUAUUCCUGUACCACCUAUAAUCGUUUUAAUCGAUGGGGGGACGCAGUAGGAUAGGCGAAGCGUGCGAUUGGAUUGCACGUCUAAGCAGUAAGGCUGAGUAUUAGGCAAAUCCGGUACUCGUUAAGGCUGAGCUGUGAUGGGGAGAAGACAUUGUGUCUUCGAGUCGUUGAUUUCACACUGCCGAGAAAAGCCUCUAGAUAGAAAAUAGGUGCCCGUACCGCAAACCGACACAGGUAGUCAAGAUGAGAAUUCUAAGGUGAGCGAGCGAACUCUCGUUAAGGAACUCGGCAAAAUGACCCCGUAACUUCGGGAGAAGGGGUGCUCUUUAGGGUUAACGCCCAGAAGAGCCGCAGUGAAUAGGCCCAAGCGACUGUUUAUCAAAAACACAGGUCUCUGCUAAACCGUAAGGUGAUGUAUAGGGGCUGACGCCUGCCCGGUGCUGGAAGGUUAAGAGGAGUGGUUAGCUUCUGCGAAGCUACGAAUCGAAGCCCCAGUAAACGGCGGCCGUAACUAUAACGGUCCUAAGGUAGCGAAAUUCCUUGUCGGGUAAGUUCCGACCCGCACGAAAGGCGUAACGAUUUGGGCACUGUCUCAACGAGAGACUCGGUGAAAUCAUAGUACCUGUGAAGAUGCAGGUUACCCGCGACAGGACGGAAAGACCCCGUGGAGCUUUACUGUAGCCUGAUAUUGAAAUUCGGCACAGCUUGUACAGGAUAGGUAGGAGCCUUUGAAACGUGAGCGCUAGCUUACGUGGAGGCGCUGGUGGGAUACUACCCUAGCUGUGUUGGCUUUCUAACCCGCACCACUUAUCGUGGUGGGAGACAGUGUCAGGCGGGCAGUUUGACUGGGGCGGUCGCCUCCUAAAAGGUAACGGAGGCGCUCAAAGGUUCCCUCAGAAUGGUUGGAAAUCAUUCAUAGAGUGUAAAGGCAUAAGGGAGCUUGACUGCGAGACCUACAAGUCGAGCAGGGUCGAAAGACGGACUUAGUGAUCCGGUGGUUCCGCAA
rnacentral:rRNA from 1 species